AGAGAGAGAGAGAGAGAGAGAGAGAGUAGCGCUGUACACGUCUGAUCAUAACAAACAACAAAUAUACAAGACCCUCCGUUACCAACGUUAUUGGCAUAUAGUAAUAAGUAUUUCUGUUGCAAAAGGAUUAGUGUUCACCUCGAAAAAAGUUACGUAAAAAAGAGCCAUCGGGGUACAGUUGCGUUCGUGUGUGUGUGUGUGUGUGUGUGUGUGUGUAUGUGUGUGGCGGCAGCGGCGGCGUGUGGCAGAGGUGGCGGUGCGGUGGGGAGGUAGUGGUAGUGGUGGUGGUGGUGGUGCUGGCGAGAGCGAGUGAGGCUGGCUGGGUGGUGGCGGUGGCGGAGUAGCGUGAGUCGUGGUCCAGCCAGCCAGUAGGCAACAUGACUCAGUGACGCCUCCCUACCUCACUCUACCUCUCACCCGGACUAACCUUCCCUCCGCCACCCUAGCUAGUGUUUAGUGUUCCCCGCGCGAGUGUGUGUCCCUCGGAGUGUGUACAGUGUCACCACAUCGCCCAGGAUCCCUGGCUCCCAAACAGAGGGGAGACACCAGUACCGCAGCUCACCACCGCCACCACCACUACCGCCACCACGAUGCAGGUGGAAAAGCUCGUCUCGAAAGCUUCAAAUAGGAGAAUCUGCGGGGACAACCUGGACAGCCUUGCGAUCUAGGUAAGGGGGCACCCGUAACUCCCUCACUAAGUUACCCUUCCAUUUCUGAACCUUUGUCAAGUCCACCAUCAGUUCUAUCUCUCUUAAGUCCCUCACCUUUACCCACAUAGCUUCACCAUUAUCCUUUUUUUUUUUUUUUCUGGCCAUUCUCAUCCUUUUAUCACCAUUAGCACUGUCACCCCUUGGCCUCCUUUCACCCUUGCACUCUUUAAACGAAGAUAAACUGAUGACUAUAAGGAAGAGAAUUGAACUGAAGGAUAGAUAGAGAGUAGAGAGUAGAGAGUAGAGAGAGAGAGAGAGAGAGAGAGAGACGAGUGGAGGGAGGACAGGUAGAUAAGGAGGUAGAAAGGUAGAGAGAGAAGGGACGGAGAGAUGGGGGAAACCUUGAGGGCAUGAGAGAAUGUAUCCUCCCUUGGGCACCACCACCACCACCACCACCACCACCCAGGGGGCGCCUCCAGGGACUCCACCGCCUGGUUCCCACACGCAGCCAGAGCCAAGGGCGUCGUCUGGCUACAGAGACGCCGAAGCGAGACUUUCUUCACCCAAAAAAAAGAAGAAAAAGACGAACAAUACAACUUCAAGACUCUCUCUCUCUCUCUCUCUCUCUCUCUCUCUCUCUCUCUCUCUCUAGGUAGGAGGUGGAAGGAAUGAAGGAAUGAGCUGAGAGGGACAGAAAACAAAGGAUAUUUUCAGUUUCCAAAGUUGGCAGCGGACUUUUUUUCUUCAGUAUGUGAGGCUAUUUCGUCCAUUAUUUCCACUACAUCAGACUAAAGGACAUGAGAGAGAGAACGAUACAAUGCCACACACACACACACACACACACACACAGCCCCACCAUCACCACCACCACCACCACCACCACCACAACGACACCACAAAGCUCAUUAUCAUAAAUCCACCUCAUCCUGGAACGCAAUAACCUCACCUUCUAUUACCUGUUGACACACCACUGACACACCGCACAGCACACCUAAAGGAGACAGACAUUGGGCGGGUUACUAAAAUGACCAGAAAAAAAAAAAUAUUGGAAAAAUUAAGACGGAAGUGUGCCAUGUAGAAUCCAGCUUUUGGUACGCAGAAGAAGAAGAAGAA